rnacentral:lncRNA from 1 species
AGCGCUCGCUGGCUGGCUGGCUAACGGAAAGGCUGGCUGGACUCGGGGAUCCAGCCACACUGCUGGCGGGCAGCAUGCUGUCCACCCUGCGGGUGCCUUUCUCAGACUAGGGCCCGCAUGAAUUCCGCCUCCCGGGAGAAGCUGACGUCGGCAUGCCUUCCAGGGGCAGCGGCUGCCCUCCAGGGUCUGGAACUUGGGGGUCAUGCUGCCUCCAACUCCUGACUCUGUGGCCCCAAGAGGAAGAGGAAGCUGGGUGGGAUCUUAGGGGCCAUGUGGACUAGGCAGCCCACUGGGUAAGAAGGGGAAAUUGAGGCCCGGGAAGGGAGGGAGACUUGUCCAAGGCGCACAAGGCUGUGAAAGACAUGACUGGCCCCCAGGCCACUGUGCACCUUCUGAGCCGGCUCCCUGCAGUUCCCUGAGGGCACUGAGAGCUGCAGAGCCUGGAAGUGGAGUCCCUGCGGGCAGUGCAGGUGAAGGUGGCUCCUCACACACAGGGGUCAUGGGGGGAUCUGAACCCACAUCCCCAGCCAGCCUGAAAUGUCACUCAUCGAGUUUCAGUCUUUCGAAUCAAGCUGUGGAAAAUCACACCCACCCUCUUUUCCCUUCCGCAGGGAGUGGGCACGUGAAAAGUACUUUGGGACACGGAGUUCCAAUCAAACAGAAGACUGGAACCUCAGCACCUCCAAAGCUCACGGACCCGCUGGUGAGGGCUGCCCGGACUGCUGAUUCCACUCAGCCACUCACCACCCGCCCUGUCUGCCAGGUGCCAUGUGCAAGGAUGCUGCAUUUUCUGCUAAUGGGGGUGGGGGAUGGCAGGAGACAUAAUGGGGUGGGGAGGGGUCAUUGCUAUUGUCGUCAUCACUCUUUGUCACCCCAAUGGCAUUCUAUACCUUCUUUUGCAUCUGAUCUCAAGGCAUCAAGAAUAUGAAAAACAGCUCUUCUGUCCCCAAAAGGGAGAUCUUACCUUAAGCAAUGGGAUUACCAUUAAGUACAAGACAUUUGACAUUAAACCAUUAAGCACAAGACAUUUGACAUUAAUCCCAGGACAGGAUGGGAGGAAGGGCCCUGACCAGGAGGGGGGCACUCCAGAGUCGGCCACCCGCUGCCCUUGCCCUGACCUGUCCCGUAGCUCUCCUCGUCACAGGCUCAGACUCCACGUCCCUACCCGAGACCCUCUGACUGUGGCCAAGCUCCAGCCCUACCCUAUCCC